UGUCUCCUCCAUGUCUCCACUGAUAUGGAUUCGGCCCGCCAACCUAGGCGGGCUUUUUUUC
rnacentral:ncRNA from 1 species